AUAUUAAUAAGCGGAGGAAAAGAAACUAACAAGGAUUCCCCUAGUAACGGCGAGUGAAGCGGGAAAAGCUCAAAUUUAAAAUCUGGCAGUCUUUGGCUGUCCGAGUUGUAAUCUAGAGAAGCGUUUUCUGCGCUGGACUGUAGACAAGUCUCCUGGAACGGAGCGUCAUAGAGGGUGAGAAUCCCGUCCUUGCUACAGAUCCCCAGUGCUCUACGAUGCGCUCUCAACGAGUCGAGUAGUUUGGGAUGCUGCUCAAAAUGGGAGGUAAAUUCCUUCUAAAGCUAAAAUAUUGGCGAGAGACCGAUAGCGCACAAGUA
rnacentral:rRNA from 1 species